GAGAGAGGGGCGGGUUGUGUAGGGAUCUGGAGGGGGCGUACAGAGGGGUACAGAGGGUCCUGGAGGGGUAUAUGGGGCGUAUAUAGCGGCGUGGGGAGCGUAUGGGGCUGUCUGGAGGGCUAUGGGGGCUAUAGGGGGGUUUGGAGGGGUAUGUGGGGGUUUGGAGGGAUAUAUGGGACAUAUAGGGGGUGUCUGGAGGGGUAUAUGGGACAUAUGGGGGCUAGAGGGGUGCCUAGGGGGGUAUAGGGGGUGUUUGGAGAGAAACAUGGGGGUAAAUGGGACAUACAGGGGGUGUCUGGAGGGGUAUAUGGGAGCUAUAGGGGUGUCUAGAGGGGAUAUAUGGGACAUGUAGAGUGGUAUAGGGGGUAUCUGGAGGGCUGCGGGGGUUAUAUAGGUCAUAUGGGUGGGUCUGUGGAGGUAUGGGGGGCAUAUAGGGGCGUAUGGGGGCGGCUGGGACGUAUGUGGGUUAUAGGGGUGCCUAGGGGGUAUGGGGGGUGUCUGGAGAGAAACAUGGGGGUAAAUGUGACAUAUGGGCGGGUCUGGAGUGGUAUAUGGGAUGUAUGGGGGGUAGAGGGGGUAUAUGGGACAUACAGGGUGGUAUAGGGGGUGUCUGGAGGGCUGUGGGGGGUUAUAUGGGUCAUAUGGGGGUAUGGGAGGUUUAUGGGGGUAUGUGGAGGCAUAUAGAGGCAUAUGGGGGGUUGGGACAUAUGGGGGCUAUAGGGGCACAUGGGGCUCUGGCGGGGGGGGGUGGGUAUAGGAUAGCGUAGGCAUCUGGGCAUCUAUAGGGAUAUCUAUAGGAUGUCUGUAGGUGUCCAUAGGCCCUGUGCCCCCUGUGGGCGGCACUGCUCUGUGUGCCGCCCUGUAGGGGCCUGGGCAGAGCAUUGGGGUGACCUACGGCCGGGGCACCCCUUGGAGGUGACCCCGGCACACACCAACCCCUACAGCCCCUAUAGGGGACUGCCUCCAACUGCCCUGUAGGGACCCACAGCCUCGGCCCUUAUAGAUCCCACCCCAUAGGAACCAGCUCCCUAUAGAUCUCACCCUGUAGGAACCAUAUUCCAGUACGUCUCACCCUAUAGACUCUGCCCUCUAUAGAACCAGCCCCUAUAGAUCUCAUCCUAUAGACCCAGCCUCUGUAGACUUUGCCCUAUAGGAAACAGCCCCUCGAAGCCCUACCCCUAUAGAACCAGCCCAUAUAUAUCUCACUCGGUAGGAUCCAGCCCCUAUAGGUCCCACUCUAUAGGAACCGCCUCCGCUCCCCCUGCAGGUCCAGCAGAGGCUCUGCCCAGAGCAACACUGGGAGGGGGUGACAACGAGGGACAACUGUGGGGACAGGGACAUCUUGAGGGGACAACCAGUGAAAUGUCCCAAUUUUGGGGAAAAAUGUCCCAUUUUUGGAGCAAAAUGUCCCAAUUUGGGGUCUCUCAACUGGGUCAUUGGGCAAGAUGAGAAGUUUUGGGGCAAAAUGUCACAAAUUUGGGGCAGAAUGUUGCAAUUUGGUGGUCACAGAGCUGGGUCGUUGGGCAAGGUGAGUAGUUUUAGAGUGAAAUGUUAUGAUUUUAGGGCAAAAGUGUUCCAGUUUUGGGGUGAAACAUCACAAUUUUGAGGUAAAAUGUUUCAAUUUGGGGGCAAAAUGUCCCAAUUUUGUAGAAAAAUCUCCCAAUUUUUAGGCAAAAUGUCUCAAUUUGGGGCCUCUGAGCUGGGUCAUUGGCUGAGCUGAUGCACUUUGAGGCAAAAUGCUGAAUUUUGGAGUGAAAUGUUGCAAUUUGGGAUGAAAUUAUGAGUUUCGGGGCAAAAUAAGGAGUUUUGGGGCCAAAUGUCACAGUUUGGGGUUGGGGUUGAGUUGGGUCAUUGUAGAAAACAAUCUGUUUUGAGGUGAAAUUUUGAGGUUUGGGGCAAAAUAUUGCAAUAUUAAUAAAAAAAUAAAACAGAACAAACCUGAGUGAUGCUGGUUCUGAUUUGAGGGGAAAAAGCCCCAAACCGGGCAAUCUCGGGGUCAAAAAUGUGGAGUUUUCAAAGCGUCUGCUGGCUAGAGGGACAAAAUGUCCUGAAAUCUCUGUAGUUAGCCACAAAUUAGCGUCACUAAUUAACAACAGGUGCACUUGUCGGGCAGUUUUUGGGGUGAUUUCCAGGGGAUUUGGGCGCAUUGGGGUGGGAGAGAACCCAGCCGUCCCAGAGGCCGGUGUCACAGGGGAGGUUAUGGGACUCAGGCAUCCAGGAGGUGACAGGAAUAGCUGCGGUCAUGUGACCUAGUCCAGUGACCCUGGGGCGCCCUUGGGGACCGCAGGGUCCCUAGUGAGUGGGUGUUACUGGGGUGACUGGGAGUGUCGGACAAUGGGGCAGAGCCAGGGGGCUGACAGUGCCCCAGAGCCCAGCGGGGGGCCCUCCCCUCUGGAGCAGGGGUUGGCAGCACUGGUUGAGACCUUCUACCAGUAUGCGCGGCCCCCGCCGGGGGGAGGGGAGCCCAGCCUGGACCCCCCAGCCUUCCAGCGCCUCCUGCGGAUCGAGCUGGGCCACCAGCUCACAGACACGGCGCAGCCCCAGGCUGUGGCCGCCAUCUUUGCGCAGCUGGACGCCAAUGGGGACCGGCGCAUCUCCUUUGAUGAGUACUGGCAGCUGGUGGCCUGGCUGUGCCACGUCCUGCGCCAGCGCCGCUUCGGGGCCUCCCCUGCACCCCCGCCCCCCGCCUUCACCGGGGACUCACCCCACAUCAAUGUCCCCGAUGUCGCUGACGCAAACCCUGAGGUGCUGUGAGCCCACAGGACACCCAGGGACACUCCAGGCUGGCGAGUGCCCCAAUUGUGGCAUUUACCACCCCAAAUUGUGGGGGGGUGUGGGGAUGGGGACCCACGGGUGUGUCACCGUUCCCCUCCCUGGGGUCUGCUGGAGGUGAUGAAUGUCUUAAAAACCCUUCAAAUAUGUGAAAUGUAGCUAAUAAGAAUAAAAAAUACGAUUCCUGCAGGAAGGAACCGCAGAGACUUGAGGGUGGCGAACGGUUGGGGGGGUAAAUCAAGGGAUUUGAGGAAAAUGAUCAUUUUUAAGGGCAAGAUAAAAGCAGUACUGGGUAUUGCAGGUGUGUAAAUGGGGAUUUUUGUUUGGCGUCAAUGUGGGGGGGGAUUGGGGGAGAAAAGUGGGAUUUUGUGUUGGUUUUGAAUGAAAAAACUGAGAGGUUUUGUGUGGUUUAGUGAGACAUGGGGAUUGAAACGGCGGGGCCUGCGGGAGUGGGUGGGGGCUGCGACUGCGGGCGGGGCCUGCGGGAGGCCGUGGCUCCACAGACACGGAAAAUGUAUAAAAAUGUGGAAAAUGUAGCGAAUAAUAAUAAAAAAGGCGCUUCCUGCAGGAAGGAACCACAGAGACUUGAGGGGGGAAGCAGUUUGGGGGAUAAAUCAAGGUAUUUGAGGAAAACGAUCAUUUUAAAAUAAAAGUAGGGCGGCGGUUUGCAGCCCGGGCGGGGCCUGAGGGGGUGGGCGGGGCCUGCCCCACAGUGACUCCCCACCCAGCCCCGCAGGAACCCCCAGCGGCCUCCAGGCCCCACCCAGGGCGCGGGGCCAAGCGGGGGCGGGACGAGCAUACCUGACCGAAACCCGCCUGGGGGGCGUGGCCGUUGACUGGAGCGCGUGCGCUUUCGCCCUAUAUAAGGCGGGAGGCGGUGCCUCGUGUAAGCUCCGCCCCCUGGAGACCCCUCCCACCUCCCCCGAGCCCUUUACUUCUGCCGUCUGUCCUGAGUCUGUUAUUUCCCACUUUUCCCCACUGAAUAUAGAAAAGGGACAAAUAAUGAUUUUCCAUUUCUAUCUGCGUUAUUGACUGGUUGUGGUGAGGGUCCUUUCAGUGAAAAACUUAUUGUAACUUUUUUUAUACCUAACAUCUAUCUUCUAUAGUAGAUCUAAUCAUAAACAAAGCCACGUCUGACUCAAACUCAGAAAUAAUGUUUUGAAGUUUUCACACUGUGUCACAACAGAGCCUUGUCAGUCUACAAGCUGACUCUGUAAUAUGUUUCUUCUAGUCUGUCAUCCCCAUUUUGAUCAACAGUAAGAACAUGCCUCUGAUUAUUCAAUCUUUCAUUUAUAGUGAGGAUAUAAGCAAGUUUUACAACAUACCUAAAAGGAAGAUGUUAGGGAUCAAUCACUCCUAAGUAAUUUCAAUUCUGUUUGUCUGGUCUCAAUGAAAAUCCAAUUAUAAACUGCAUGCAGUAAGUCUUCAGCUGUUUGUAUUAUGUAUAUAUUUAAAGUAAACGAAAAAUGUGUAGAACGUGAGGUUCAAUGAACUGUUGCUUCACCACUGCAGAAUGCCAAGUAAUUACUGAAAGAGGAGGAUGGAGGUCACAGUUUUAGCACUUAAUUGAAGCAAAGAGUUGUUUAUUACUCUAUUAACUUCUCAAUGAUAAAAACUGCUACAACAAAGAGAGAUUUACUUAUCUCUGAAAGGGAAAGAACCUUCUAUUCUAAUAAGAGGCUGGCUAGACUGCUUCCUACUUAAGGACAAAGUAAAAUAAAUGUUGAGGAUGAAAAGUUAAACUGGUCCAGAUCUUUUGAAAGACUUCAAAGGAAAUAUUGACUAUUAAAUCCAACAUAGUCCACUAAAAAAGAGAAAAUAUACAGUCUGAUUCCUGUACAGUCUCUUGAGAGAGAGCAAGUCUGAUGAAUGACAGUAAGAGAGACCUUCUGAUGCAAGUUUAGGAUCCUUUGAAUGGAUUUAGAUUUUUUCAUUCCCUCUUUUCUAAAGAUUGAUCACUGAGUUGUCUAUUUUAGAUGAUAAAUGUUGAUAUUUGCAUGUUUACUAUAAGGUGGCUCAGUGUUAGCAUAAUUUACAGAUAUCAUGCAUCCCUAUGCUCCAAAUUCAAACUUUCCAGUUUUUGCAUUUCCUACCAAAUUCCAUGUCCCCAGACUGAACCUUGAUCCUAAACCCCUUUACUUCCUCUUUACUUCACAUACUCUCAUCUGUACAAAGCUGGAUCCCCAACCAUUUUGUUUAUUUUUCAUUAGUAUCUCCUAGUCUCCUACCAGUGGCCAUUUCCCAAAAUCAGGACUCUAGUCCCCUCCUUUCAUUCACUUCAGCAACUUCACACCUGCCUCACUGACUCCCACACUCUUUGGGCCUGAAGAGCGGUCCUGCAUGGUCUGGAUGGCCUGUGCCAGCUAGGUCAGCAGUAGGAGUAGUAGUCUCAGUUUUCUCCGUGUAGAAACCCUUAUAGGAGCUGCAUAUGUGGCACAAGACAACAAAUUACUAAAGUUCAGGUAACUGUCACGAACUGUCUGUGAAGAGCAAUUUAUCCUUUGGACUUGAGUCUGAAGCAGAUGAGAAAGUAGGAACUUUAGGUGGUGAUGCAUAGACUUCUGCUUUGUGCAUCACAAUUGAUACAAAGAUUCCAAUUAAAUUUCAUUUCUUCACUCUUCCUAUCAGACAGGGUGGAAACAACAUAUUUUUAAAUUUCCUUUUCCUUAUUUUCUCCCUUUUCCAUUUUUUAUCCUGUCUUUCAGAUCUCUGUGGGCUAAAGAUUAAUCAGUCCCUUUUGUACUGGAAUAAGUACUACUCUGGCUGCUUUCAGCGAGUAGAGAAUCUUGCAUUUCAAAAUGCAUCUGCUUUUUUGAACUUUAUUCUCUUCCAUGCUUUUUUUCACAAAAUAUCAUAGAAUCAUAAAAUCACAGAAUGUCCUGAGUUGGAAGGGACCCACAAGGAUCAUUGAGUCCAUCUCCUGUCCCUGCACAGGACAACCCCACAGUUCACACCACGUGUCUGAGGGCUUGUCCAGUCUCUUCUUGAACACUGUCAGGCUUGGGGCCGUGACACCUCCCUGGGGAGCCUGUUCCAGUGCUGCACCACCCUCUGGGGGAAGAACCUUUUCCUAAUGUUCAAUCUAAACACCCCCUGGCACAUCUUCCUGCCAUUCCCUCAGGUUCUGUCAUUGGUCACUAAAGAGAAGAGACUUUUAUGCACAGAAGGUUUCAACUGUGAAUUGUUAUCAGAGAAAUACUAAUGCUUGAUGCUGCAGCCUUCUACUUAUUAGGAAAAAAAGCUGGUUUCAAACACCUUUUAUGUGUUUAUCAUAGCAUCAAAGAAACAAGAAAGAAGUAGUGACUAGCUUUUAUAAAAAUUGUGCUUGGCCAGAAAAGGUGAAAGCGGAGACUAUAAUCUCUGGCUUUCUCAGAGAUUCAGGCAGUGUCAAGACUUACACUUUCCCUGGAGUUCAGAACUUUGUAACAUCACUUUUAAAUUAGCAAGCACUGACCAAGUGAAAACAGAUCUAUUAAUUUUUUUUGUGAGUAAAUUUUUAAUAGCAGUAAGUGCUGCAAUCUGUUGAAGCUUCCAAAGGGUAGUGGCAUCCUCACACAGAGAAGGCAAGAAAUAUAGCAAUAUUCAGACAUCAUCCACCUCCCUUUUUAUUAGAUAUUAUUUGACUGCAGUCAUGAAAUGGUUUUGUAAAAUACUCCAUUGUCAGGUUAGAUUUGAUCUGAUGACCAUUUUCACCUUGUAGAUGAUGUGCAGUAAAUUGUGCUUAAUGAAAGGGUACAGUUACAACACUGAUACUGAAGACACUAGAAAAGUUUCCUCUCUGGAACAGGAAAGAACUGUACCAUUGCAGAUGCCAUGGUAUGGCAGGUAUUGAGAAAUGUUAGCACUAACAGGAGCAACCAGUACACCUGCACUAAGCAGUUUCAGAUUCCUGAGUUUAAUGCAGUAUUAAAAUUACAUUUUCAAGUACUGGUUUCAGCUGAGAUGUCUUGGCAGAAGUCCAUUUCAGUUAAAGAUUUACUGCUAAUGUUUGCUAAACUAGGAAGGGCUGAUAUUUUUUAUGCUGUUUCUCUUUCAACGUUCUUGUGCUGUCAGCACUAGCCUUUGUGCUGUUCUAAUACAAUUCCACAUCAGAGAGGCUGAGGCCAGCCACACAAUGAUCAGCCAAAAUAGUGCCACAGAGUUCUUGGGAUUUGGUCCACAGAGUAUAAUAACUUCUGUACCUGCCUAAAAUUUAACUUGGAUUAUUUUUACUAAACAAAUCCUUGUACCUGAUCGCUUGUUAGUAUUGAUUGUUUUCCACUAUAUAAGAUAAUGAAAACAUAUGAAGAGAUCUCUACAUUCUUGUUCUUAAAGUUUCUUUCUUUGAAGCUCAGAUGUUAGCAGAGAAGAGAAAUAUAAAAAUAAAGGCAAAGAAAUUUAGAUACAAGUGCUUAUCUUGGCACUUGAGCAACCAACUGGUAAUCUGUCAGUAAUCAGUGAGGAAGGGUUUGUAUUGUAAAUCUAAUGUUUCUCAACACUAUUUUUUAAGCCAACAUCCAGGUAAAAGGUUUCCAUUAUUUUUCUUGCAGAACUUUUACUACAGGCUUACUUCUCUUUAAAAUAAACAAAUAAACAAGCACAUAUAUCCCUUCUUACCCUAAUCCCUCUUCAGAGAUGAUCUUUGAAUUUUAUCUUGCUGUCUUUCUAUAUCAGCCCUUGUAGCACUCUGACAGUCUCUUCUAUCCAGCAGCAUUCAGAAUGGCUUCAAAUUCAGCUGUAUCUUUUUGCAGCACAGUGCCCACCUUGUGUAAGAGUGUCUAAAAGUGACUGUUACGUUUCUGGUUCAGGGUGUUCUACCCCUAUGUUCAGUUCCAUCAUCAAUCCAUGGCCUCUUGCAAUCAUUACAGCUUCUCAAAGGCAGUGUUCUGUGUGGCCUGUGCAAGCUCACAUAAUAAAAUUAGGAUGAAGAAUUAUAAAUGAAGUGGCUGCGUUCAUUAAAUAGAGAAUGGAAAGAACUGCCAGUUUAAUAUGUAAGUCAAGUCCUCUUGUGUGUGCUCUGAUUUGCAAGUAGAAUGCUGUUAGUGUAUGAGCUCCUAAGUGUUUCAGUGUUAGAUGUCUAAAAGUUUUAAUGCAGCAGGUAACAAAACAUGUUUUUUGUGAAAAAAUAAUAUCAAAAGGAAAAGCAACUUAAUCUUCCAUUUCAAUAAGCCUCACAUUCAUCUUCUCUGGAAAUGCUGCAUUAGUUGUAUUAACCUUUCACCACUGUUUGAGUCUCUCCAGUUGUUUCUGGAAUAUCAAAUUUUCACAGUUUUACUGUACAAGAUUUGGAGGGGGUUCUUUUGUUUUCAUAAAAUACACAGCAAUAUGAAUUUAUCGUUGUUAACCGAGAUUUUAUUUUAUGUUAGUAGAAGAAAAGAAAUUGCUGUGCUGUAAUUUUUGGUUAUCAUCAGUUGUCUUUCCUAUGAUCCCAGGGAAUGAAUAUGAAAUUUCUGGAGUAUGCAGAACCCUCAAGCCUACCCAGAGGCAUAGUAUGCCAUUAAUACAGAACCACCAGGUUUGGAUACCUGCAGACACAUAUAGAAAGACUGUCAGCUCCACUGGAGGCGCUACUUGGAUGGCAUGCAAGCAAAGCUGGGGUCACAAUGUCCUACCUAAGCACAGACUAAACACGACCAGUCUUAUUCUUGACACUUGAUUUAUGCAGUGUAUCAUAAAAUGCUGACAUAGUUUGUUUCAGAUCGAACUGCAUCUAUUUAACAAAAACUGUGAAAUGUGCUCCCUUAAUAUGAUAGGAAAACAUGGUAAGGAUUAAUGAAAAAUAAUGUGAUUAUUUUUUUUUUUAUUUAGAGGUGUUUUUAAGUGAAAAAAGAAAACAGCAUUGAACAUAUGAUGACCAUAUGCACUGCUGACCAGAGUGUUUUCUUACAUGAUUGAUGUGGUGGUCCUGGGAAUGAAAGCACGGUGCCAAUCAUUCAUACAGCUACAGGGAAUAGUGGGUGAUAAGUAAGCCUGAAUGUUUUGUUUUAAUCUAAUUUUGGUUCUAUCUCUGCAGCCAUCAGAAGAAAAUCACACAAAAAUAUUGUUUUUAGAUCAGAAGUUCUGUCAUCUCUACAUUUUUUCUCAAUGGUAUAAAGAAAGUAUUCUGUUUUUGUAGAAAAAUAUGUAGAUGUAUUUCAGCAUUUGUUUCAUAAGCUAGAAGGGCUAUAUUCAGAAAAUUAGCGCUGAUAUUUCCUUUUUCCUUCACUAGAUAGUUUAGAUUAUCAUUCCACAAUGUGAGUGAUCUGGAUUCAAGGCUUUCUUCCUUUUCUUUUAUGUCACAGAAUAAAGUGAUAAUACGAAAUCACCUGGACAGACUGUUCUGGAACUGGACUUAGAAAUAUUUUCCAUUUGUUGAUGUUUAAUUCUUUGAUUUUAUAAAGAAAUAAGUGAAAUCCAGGUAUCCUAAAUCUUCACUAACAUUUCUUUUAAAUUAAUGAGUCAUUCUUAACACGGGUGCAAACACAUGCCCUAAAUUAGGCAAUUUUAUGACUUCCCUUACCUCCACCUCCCCAGGAAGAUCCACCUGUUGUAUCUACCUUCCAGUUUUAAUGAUGACUGAAAGGGUAUGUUUGGUAAAGUUGCUCUUCACCUGAAGAUUUCCAUCCCAGUUCAGAGAGUGUGACUGAGAAAAACACACUCAAAAACUGAUUGGUGGUCAUAUCAAAAAUUGGUUUGCAUGAGCACUUUCCUUCUUUUUACACUGAGGAUGUCUCCAAUGCAUCUUCCCUUUUAGCUAAAAUAAGCUGAGACUUCUGUCUUUUUGGUAUUUCAGAAAGGACAAGAGAUGUGUGAUCCCAGUGCAAAAGUCCAAUCUGGAAAUGAAAAGAAAUACAGAUCUUCUCUGACUGUUUUUCUGUCUAUUUUAACAUAAGUUAGCCCAAAGACCUAGUGUUAUGGUGAAAUAGCAUUUAAAUAUCCUAGCUCUGAUUUUCAAGACUAUUUGGAUUCUAAUUUACUAAGAAGCCUUUUCAGGCUUCAAAGUAUAAAUAACUUUUUAAAAGACUAUCAGUAAGUGAACCUUUUCAAACAGCCCUUUUUCUCCCUACUGCCUAUGGCUUUUAGUUCAAAUUCAAUUGAGCAUCUCUGUGAAAAAGGUGGCAUCAUUCUGCAGAAUGUCACCAAAGAACAGGACAUUUUAUGGCUUGUUAGAUUGCCAGGCUAGGAGCUCAAAUCCUGGUGGCUUUAAACAAUUUAAUCAAAAAAACUUACUUUAAAAUAACUCUUAAAAUCAAGCUGAAAUCAUUAGGUCAUACUGUUAUCUGAAGUAGCUGCAGACAUAGUUCAAUUGAAUCCAAUUUAAAAUAAAAUACUUUUUCAUUUUACCUGCGAUGUCAUUAUGGAUUGUGAGAGUCUAAGGUCAUGUAAACCAACAGGGCCAGAGAAAGAACCAAGGAUGUAAAAACGCAUUCACUUCUUUUAAACGAUAGGAAAAUUUGUGACUUUGAGUAGGUUUUCAUAAUAGCUGUAUUUCAGUCAAAGUUCAACUUGAAGGUAAUGGAGUAUAAAAUAAUCUCCCAUUGAGGACUGACCAUGUGAAAUGGCAACAGAUGAAAGUAAGAGUUUUUAAAACCACUGAAGCACAACCACAAGUGCAAUUUGAGGACUGGCAUUUACAAAUUGCCCAGGGAAAAAGAGAAGCAAGUUUAGACUAUUGUGUGAUGUAAAAUGGGAAGAAGGGAGCUUGAGCAUCAGCUUUCCGGAAUAAAAAUGAGAAUAUUUUAAAUUCAUUUUUUUCCCCACUGUGAUAUCUGAUGAUAUGCUUGAGUCAUGGAGUAAAUACAGAUUUCAAGAGAAGUCAAGUGGUCAUUGUUAGUGUGCACUUCUGGAAAUGGGGUCUUAUUGUCUUUCCCAUGUGCUGUGGAAUCACUGUGCUAAGAUUCCUGCCUGCGCUUUGAUCUCACUCCAGCAUUUUGAUUUUGGCACCUUAUAGGAAAGUAUCAACUCUCUUAAGCUUAUAUUUCACCAAGUAGUCCCAAGACUAAUAUAAAAUUUAUUUUGAAGUAAAGCUGUGAGGUCUUUAUGUAUAUUACUGUGAAAACAAUGCUUAUUCCAGGUAAGCUAAAAAAAACCAAAUCAAACCAAACUAAAUGAAAAUAAAACAAAACAAAAACACAUCUGCAAAAAAAACAAAAACAAAAAACAAACAACCUACCCAAACCCCAAAAGCUUAUUCCUUACUCUAGAGUAAAGUAAGCUCCUUUCUGUUCCAUUCUGUUCCAUUUUACACUACUAUACAAUUUUUACAGAAAUAUUAUAAAACAUAUUAUUACCUGAGCUUCUUUUUCACCUGGAAUCAAACCUAUGAAUUCCUUAUAGGAGGAUAACUUUCUAUAUUAAGACAAUUUCUUGGGUAAGUUCUAGCUUCCAUCAGUCUGCAGUACAGAAUUCCUGAAUAGAACUAGUAUCUCUGUGUUUAAUAACUUUUGAUACACUUUUUGCUCAUGAAGUUGUCUAAUUGCUUAUUUGACCCAUCACGACUGUUAACAUGCAUGACAUUCUGAGCAGUGCUCAGAAGUGCUACAUUUGAUUAUAUGUUGCAUGAAAAUAUAUUUUCUUCUGUGCGCUUUAAACUAGUAUCUGAUUAUUUCAUCUGAUGACAAUUCAUAUAUUGUGGAAGACAAUGAAGUGUUUUUAUUUUUUCUGUGACUCAUUAAUUAUGAUAUAAAGCUACAUUGUUAUCUUCCACAUAGUUUUCACAUUUUCAAGUUCCUAGUUGAUUGAGUUUGUCCUUCUAUAGCAGACUAAAACCUUUGCUUACCUUUGUUGUUUUUCAUUAUAUCUUUUCCUUUAUGCUGUGCUAAUUAUCAUAAUCAGAAGAUCGAAAAUGCUCAGGUUCAAAAUAUUUACACAGUAGCCAAAUGAUGUUUUCUCCUUUUUUUUUUUUUUCCACCUCCUCUCCUAAUAAUUCUGAAUGUUUUUUCUAUCAGUGCUGAACAGUUCUAUUUGUUUUACUCCGUGUAUUAUUUCACAUUGAAUUUCAUUCAGUCACCUGGUCUCUGAGUUUUGUGAAAUUAUCAUGCAGCUCUUUUGACAAAAAAAUUAUUUUUUUUAUGUAAUUCUGUAAUGUUAGCAAAUGUUGUUAUUUCAUUGCUCUCUGUUCACUGCAUUGGAUGUAAAUGAAUUCAGGAGCACAAAUCCUCACACAGUACUCUGAACAACAUCUCCUUCCUGUGACCUUAACUGACUUUAAUAGCAGGUAAGUAGUACUCGAGUAGUUAAUUGCAUAGAACUUAAGUAGUAAAUUCCAUACAUAAUUGAAACUUCCUUGAUUUUAUAAAGCUCAUUUAAAAUCUUGACUAGCACAUACUAUUGCUGAUUUAUUGCUACUUAUUCUUUCAGUUUGUUUUAAUCCUUGUUUUAUGCUCAGAAACCAUUUCUCAAACUUGUUCCUUCACAAAGAUCCAUCGUAAGAACUUCCUAAGUCUCUUUCUAUAACAAAUACAAAAACGUUCAUCAUAAUGAACUGAUGCUGAAAAAACAGGAUGACUGAUUAGCAGAAGACAAAUUUUGUGAGAUUUCAGAACAGGAGGCACUGUACAUUUUGCUAGAUACUGAAAAAAACCCUUAUCUACUGCUAUUUUAAUAUUUCUUCAUGAGCAGUCUUUUUUUUUUUUUUUUUUUUCUCUUUUCUUUACCAUUCCUCCUUUUCUGAUUGUAGCAGGUUUGCCACUGGUUUAAAUAAGGGCAAUAUGGAGGUCAGAAAUGGUACUGUAACUACUUCCCUUGCCUGUAGGAGUAAAUUCUAUUAUUUUUAGAAACAAAUAUGUAGUAUUUUUUAUUUUGAGGUUCCUUCCAAUCCCUAACAUUCUGUGAUUCUGUGAUAAAUUUUCCCUUGACAUUGAACAAUUAAUUUCUCAUUGUCUGUUUGGUGUUUCACCUCCAAGACUCUGCACUAACUUUAGCUAGGAGGCUGUAAUUCAGAACUUAAUUUAUGUCAGUUUGGAGCAGGAGUGCUUUGCUUUCCAAAAGAAAAGUAGUACCUAGUACAAUGGUGGUGUUAUGUACACAGUUGUCUGUUCUCUAUAAGCUCAGAACACUAACAUAUUUUCAUAUGGUGAAGUAAAUAACUUUCAGCUGGUAAUGAUUUUCAGCCAUUAGUGACCUGGACUGAAUUUGAACUUGUGACCUAUAUGUGUACUCUGGAUUCUUAAUCAUAACUGUAAAGCUCCUCAGAAAAUAUCCUUGUCCCUUUUUUCUUUUUUUGACGAUGGGGAGUUCAGUUUGAUAUUCUGUUUCCUUCUACUGUGGUUACAAUUUAACAGACUUAAGUCAUAGUAUUGCAUGAGAAAUUAUUUUGAAAUUAUGUCUUCUUAUCUUGUAGAAGAAUAGGCUACAUCAGGAAUCAAAUAAUAGCAGUCUAUUGGGAGUUCUAUAUGAUUAAUGACUGAGGAUUGAGCUGAAUAAUACUGAGCACUUAUGUAGCACUUCACAUGUUCAAAACUCUGCACAAACAUUAUCUAAAUAAAAAAAAUGUGGCUCAUUAAGGAAUCUGUUCACGUGUAUUCUGAUGAGACAAACAAGCACACAAAAAAUGCAUGACAAAUUACCUAAAUGUUUCUCCUUUCACAAAGGGAAUUGUGUUUGAAACACGGUUCAUCUUUUAUGAAUAUUUUGUGCUAGAAUGUUUGUUUCUUUUUCAUUAGUAUAGUGAGCAGACAUCAUUUCAGGUGUCUUUUCAAUAUGGGUGAAUGUGUAUUGUAGAAAAAUAACUUUGGAGUUUAUGAGAAAUAUUCUGCAUAGCAUUAUCAUUAUGUGAAUUAACACAGGAAACUUCAGCUUUAGCAUUUACCAGCAUGUGGUAAAGAAUUUUAAUUUCCUUAUUUUAAAGGUUAAGUGUUCCUUCAAGCCCACUUGUUACCAUUCCCAAACAGAAUAAGAAGGGAACUUCCUCUAGAAAGCUACUAGUCCAUUCUAUAAAUAUUUUAAUAGAAAAUCUGCUGUUUUCAUAAUUCUGUCCCUAAGUGAGCAGUCAAGAAUGGAUUUAAACUACUUUUUUUUAAUAACAUGGUGACUUUUCAAUUCUAAGCUUUUUUUUUUUUUUUUUUUUUUUUCAAUUGGAAGAAACAUUUGAGGAAGCCCUGGGCAAAUCUGAAUGUGUUAAUAUAAAUCAUUGGCCAAGGUGUGCACAAGGAUUUCUGAUGCAUUUUUUACACCUGAACUAUGUAUUAAAUUUCCACACUCAUCAGCUCACUGAGACUGACAUAACCUUAUUAGUUGUAUACAAUUUGAAACAAGGGACUAUGUUUAUACCCAUACGACAUUUAAAUAAUCUUCAGAAAUCAAUACUCUUAUGCUUUUUAUGCAGAAGUCCCUUCCUUGUGGCUAGGGCCACUCAGACUUUUGAGAAGACAGCUUUAAUUACGCUCAAGACAAUACAUGCUGAGUGACACCUUGCAAUUAAAAAUCACAACGGUGAUAGUGAGAACACUUUUAGUAGCCUGAUUCUCUGGAUAGUCUUAGGGUCUCAAUAAAAGAAAAUGAGUUGGGCAGAAGGACCACUGGAACUCUUUUCCUGGCAGAUCUCAUUACGCUUCCUGAACUCCCAAGCCCUUCCAGCCAUUCAGUCCGGAUACUUGGAAGUCCCUUUGUUUGCACUUGAACCCUUGCUUUCUCAUCUAGGACCCGUAGCUUCCUUAUCGGCAAGAUACUGAGGUCUCCUUUCCUUCUUGCUUUUAUAUUUCUUGUUCCUAGAAAGUAACAGCUGCCUGCAUAAACAGAAUGAAACAACAGCCAUUGUAUACAAUAAGAAAUAAGUGGGAAAGAAAAACGCGACUUAGCUCCUGGUCUUUUUGGAGCAUGUCUACACAGCUCAGUAUCCACAGUCACCACUCACUACACCCAUUCUCCUACACACUAAGUUAUACAACAUUUGGUGUAUUGUUGCAUGGAAGUCGGGCAACUGUCUUUGCACAGCAGAGUUGGCUCACAGUGCAAGAGGAAACCCAGAGCACUAUCUUCACUUGAUCAUACAGAUGUGUGUCACUUAGGACAUAUUAUUAAUAUCUAAUAACAGUAAGUAUUGAUAUCUAAUAACAGUACAUAUUAAUAUCUAAUAAGAGUAUUAUUAAUAGCUAAGCACUGAGGCCACUGAAAUACCUUGAAAUAAUUGGCCUUCUUUUCCUCCUUAAAAGCAAGUAAACAAACACACAAACAAAGCAUAAUCCAAAUGGCUUCUUAAAAAGCCUUAGUCCAGCCAGCAAUUUAUUCUGAUGAGCAAUUCUUAUUCUUUUACUGACUUGGAAAUAUCUUUGAGAAAUACUUGCCUGUUUGAAAUUGAACUGAUCCUACAAACACAAUACAGAGUACAACUUCCACAGAUCUAAGGUUUAUGGGUUCAUUUACGCAUUUUAUACUGAAGUUAAAGGGGACAUAGGAAAAAUAAUUGGCUUUUUUUUUUUUUCUUUAUAUUUUUCAAUAAAUCCUUUUAUUUAGUGACUUAUUUUAUGAGUUACUGAGUUUUGAAGUUCUAUUUAUUUAUUUUCAUUAUGUUUCUCCCCUAUGAGCACAUGUGAUUGCAGCAACCAUGUGUGACAACACAGAAUUUUCAUUUUCUAAUAGAAAUACAGACCAGGUCAUCUUUUCAGAUUUUAUAUAAUACAGCCUUGGAAAACAGGCACAAGAUCUCAAAUGACAGCUGAAGGGAAAACUUAUAGGAUAUGAUCACACAUGAAGGUUAAAAGAGUCUUCGUUUUCAACACAAAUGCUACCCUUUGCAGGUAUCAGAUGCUUUAUAAAUGUUCCCUUUUAUUUUGAAGUUCUAAACUAUAACCUAUGAAUUAAAGGACAAGUCAUUCUAGAGGAAGUUAAAAAUUCACUUAUACCAAUCACAGCCCCACUGGAAUAAGACAAAUCUUAGCAGAGAAGAAAUCAAAUAACUCAAUAUGAAAGAACAAAUCUAAAUCGGGAGCCGACACUGAGGAGAUCAAGAAAAAUACACAGCUAAAAUAUUUCAACAGCUGAACAUGUAGCAGGUGGACAAAUAUAGUCUCAGGAAAGCUGCCAAGCAUUGAAAAGUGCAAUAAAAGUGGACACAAUGCAAAGUAAUUACAAAAUUCAAUUUUGGGUUAAAAAUUAUUGUUGAAACUGCCACAGACAGUCUGAAUAAGAGGAAUAGGACCGUAAGGCAAGACUUGUAGAGGACUUCAUCCAACAGUGCAAUAAAGAGAUGUCCAUAAUUUACUUUCAGUAACUUCACACCAAACAUAACUUUUGUUACGACUGUCUUUAUUGCUCAACAGUUUACCUUCUGAAGCUAAAGGCACAAUUUGUUCCAGCCCACCUUUUUUUUUUUCUAGAUUUCAAUUUCAUAAGUCCCUUAUUGUAUAUGCCCUUACUGACCUUUUCAGUCCUCUGCAAUUUUUCUAAAGCUGUACUUACCUAUCUGAUGCUCAUUCCCUUACAGACAUGUUCUUUUGUAUUCUUGAUGUUUUUCUUGUCACCUCUUACUUUGAUUUGUUAUUUGAUAGGCAUUUGUCUGUUUACUUGUCUGGUAAGAUAAUGUUCCUCAUUCUUCUUUGUUUUCUGGGCUCGGUAUUCACAGUUCUCUCCUUCAUUUUACCAGAGAAAUAACUUUAUUGCUGAAAAAUCUUGUCAUCAUGAGGAUGAAGGAUGUUCACUCUGUUCAGACCAAUCAUUCAUUAGCACAUUUAAUCUAUUGGAGUGAGAAUAUUGUUUGCACAUAUAAGACAAAGGAGACACUCAGCAACUUCUGCAAGAAUCAUCAUGCUUACUUACUACCCCACAUGAGAUUUAAUGAGUCACUCCGUGUGAGGCUUUAAGAUCCUGGGAACUUGUUUUCUUCAAGUAGAGUGAUGUAUAUUUCACAUGUGUUUUUUCUUAUAUGUAGACCAAAGAAUGGUGUUCAACAGUGAUUCUUGACAGUUGUUAGGACAUGAACCAUAUUUAUGAACCAUAUGAAUUACAACAAGGACAAGUGGAAAGUCCUGGAUAUGAGCUGGCAAAUGAUCUUUCAGCACAGAAAGGCAGUUGUAUCCUGGGCUGCAUAAAAAAAAGUGUGGCCAGCAGCAGGUCAAGUGAGAUGAUUCUGCCCCUCUCCUCUCACCUGGAGUACUCCUUGCAACCUGGAGUACUUCCUACAGCUCUGGUAUUCCCAGUACAAGAAGGACAUGCUGGAGCAAGUCCAGAGAAGGCACUGGAGCACCUCUCCUGUGAAGGCUGAGAGAUCUGGGGUUGUUGUGGCCUUGUAAUGUACAAAGGGGUCUUACAAGAAAGAAGGGGACAGAUAUUUUUACCAAGGCUUGUAGUGACAGGACAAGGAACAGUGGUUUUAAACUGAAAGAGUGUAGGUUUAUGUUGGACAUAAGGAGGAAUUUUUUUACAAUAAGGGUGGUGAGGCACUGAACCAGGUUACCCAGAGACAAUGUGGAUGCCCCAUCACUGGAAGUGUUCAAAGUCAUGUUGGAUGCGGCUUUGUGCACCUCGGUCUAGUGAACAAUAUCCCUGUCCAUAGCAUGGAGCUUGGAGUAGAUGGUCUUUAAAGGUGUCUUUCAACCCAAACCAUUUUAUGAUUAUAUCAUUAGGUUAAGUGAAUAAUUGAACAGAGGAGGUGGGAAUCGUGAAGUGAAACUGUCAAGGUUUGAUUGUAGGGCGACAAUAAACUGUUGCAGAUGCUUUGUUAAGCCCCUCUCCCCUCCAAUCCCCCUUAGUCGCCCCUCUCCACUAAGUACAGGUGAUAGGAAGGCAAAGAAGGACAAAAGGAGAAAGAGUUGGAAAAAAAUGGAAAUGUUUUACUAAUGCUACUAAUAAAAUAGAGAAAAUAAUACAAAAUAUACAAAACCGAUCUUGAAUUCCCCGUCAAAGAUCAGAACUGCUCCAGCAGCAGAGCAAGCCCAGAAGUCCUGGGCUGGACUAUACAGCAAACCGGAACUGGAUUCAGUCUGUCACUAGGCCUCAGAUUUGCAGGGACAGUAGGCAGGGUCCUUCCCAGAUGUCAACCAUGGUCGAAGAAAAGAAAAAGGGAAUGAGAUCCUUGUGAUCUCCUACUUUUAUAUGAAGUAUCACAUGAAUGGGAUGAAAUACUUAGUUGGUCAGUUUUAGUCACCUGUUCAGUUCGCUCCUCCUUGCCCCUCUCACUUAUGGGAUGUGCAUCCUUAUCAGUAACCUUGCAUUCCAUUCCUAUGCCUACGAAAACAUGUAUCCUACUUUAGAAAAGUGCAGUUACUAAGACUUCAGUUGAAAGGAAAAUUCACUAAAAGAGAAACUUGUAUUGUUUUUAACAAAACCAGGACAGAAACCCAGUACACUCAGAACAGCUGGAGUUCCAGAACAUUUGAGCACAAGGUUUCAAAUGCAUGUGCAAAAGAAAUUCUGAUUAAAUAUAUGUGCAUGCAAUAUUUUGGGUGGGAGAUAGGUUAAACUCUUAUGUGGAACAGUCCAUAGCAUGGUUAGGUUAUGGUAUGGGGUUGUGUCUUACAGUACGGAAUGAGCCUUGUUUACCAUACUGUGGUAGCCGUGGCUAUAAUUAAAACUAUUCCACCCUAUAAGGAAGGUAUGCACUGAAAGUAAGGUACUGGAAGAGGAGGCAGGGGAAUGGUUUUGAUUAUGUUUUCCUCCACAGUUUCUUGUCUGCUUGGGGUGAGCUGAGCCUAAAACCUCAUUCAGUUGAAUCAGCUUGAAUCAUCAGAAAUCCAGGCUAAGUAACCACUGAUCAGAGGUUUCAGGACUGCAAGCUGAUACUGAAGUGCCUAACAACCACACAACUUUGUCUGGAAUAUUUAAAUAUUUAUUAAGGUUUUUUGUUUGUUUGUUUGUUUGUUUGUUUGUUUUUGUGGGGGUUUAUUUAUUUUUUUUGUUUGGUUUUAAUUUGAAUCUAUUAGUCUAAGCCUACCUCAGGACUGAUGAUUUGUGAGUGUUCAUAAACUCACCCUUAGUUUAAAUGUCUCUUUGUUCUUUCCCCACCCUGCUGCCCAACAUAUCAACAGUAGCAUAGUAAUAGCAAGUUUUAAGAUUAAUAUUGUUUUGUUUCAUUACAAAAUUGCUAUUGCAGCAAAGGGAGAGCUAGCUCAGUAUACCUUGCUGACCUUCUAACUCAACAGCUUGCAUAAAAUUAUUUGCAUUACCAGAGAUUGCUUCAUUAAUACUUGUUAAAAAGAGAUAUUAUAUACAUUCAACAGUAUGGAAAUUAUUUAUAAAUGGCAUUAGUUUAAUGACAAAAUUUUUGAAAUGCAAUGCAAUAUAUUUUUAAUCUUUUAAUUGUACCUCUACGUAAAGUACUUUCUGUAAGCAAGACUCCCUUUGACAUUCAUUUAAUUAGAUCUUGUAUUUAAAAUUGUGCCUCUUAUAAACACACCAUUAAAAAUCAGCAUUUAAGCCUUAACAAUAUCACAUUGGAAUACAGGCUAUAAAGUUUCUACAAUCUCAGUGGCUUUUUAAGUGUGACUAGCCAUCUAAAUGAAUACAUCAGCUUACAGAACAGCCUCAAGGAGUAACCUCAAGAUAUGGUCCAGUGAAAGAACAAGUCAAGAGAGCAUCUUUCAUUUGAAUGCUUUGAAUAAUUCUUCUGCUGUGAAGCAUAACACCUAAAUCUGUCUCAUCUCAUUUUCCUAAUUAGUGGUAUAGUGCGGAGAAUCAAUAUAGUAGCCUGCCAUUCUUGGGUCAUAAGCACAACGUACUAUCAUGGCUUCAAACACAUGGACUGGCGAAUAUUCACUUCUCUAGUGGCAAAUUAAGAAAUCAGAAAACUUUGUGCUCUACAGAUGAAAUUCUGAAAGAAAAUUCAGAUGAUAAUACUUUAUAGAUCUACAUGUUUACAAUGCAUAAGCAUCUUGUACAGUGUUUGUUUGUAAUAGAUCUGUUACAGGACUGAUUUGUAUGCAAAGUGACAAUUUAUAACAGUUUAAAUACCUCUGUAAGAUAAAAGGAGGUUGAUGUAAAUUUUAAACCUGUAAGGCAUAUUCAGUAUUUUUGUAUUGUAUCAAUGCCAGGAAACUGAUAUUUUUUUUUCUCUUGACUCAACCAGUUUACUAGAUUUAGAUUUACCUCAGGAUAUGGAGAGCAUGUAAACCAAACACUGUAUAUUUUUAUAUAGUAAUCAAAAUAUUCUACCCUUGAGGGAUACUGUUUCUGUAAAGGAAUGGACUGGAAAAAAUACUUUAUAGUAUAGAGAAAUUGUGCUAGAAAGUUGAUAGAAUUUUUGGUAUAAUCCUGCUAAAUUCUAAGAUUGGUAUAAUUAUCCUGUCUUUAGGUAUUUAAAAAAAAAAAAAAAAAAAAAGAAAACAUUGAUGAUUGGACUCACAUAAUCAAAAUACAGAUAAAGAAAGUACCUGUCUAACAUCAUACAUCUGGACUACUCUUCCCCUAUAGAAAUUAUUCAACUUCAUUUAAGAUUUGUUGCUCACAAAAAUGUAUGGGACUGAUCCUUACAAUCCAAGAAGUUGUACAAAUGCUGAAACUAUUAACUACUAACACCCCCUUCACCAAUCAAGAAUUUAAUAUGCAAUACUUUGUAUCUCCGUUCUCAUUUCUGUAGGGAACAUGCAUGUCAAUCAAGAUACAACAAAUAUGAAUACAAGCAAAAUAUGGCUUAAGUAAACUCUAUGUAAAGUAUUUAAUAACAAAAGAGAACACAGCAAAACUUAGUUUAGCAUAUGCAAGCAAAAUGUUUUGGCUCUUAUUGUGAAAUUGUACUGGGCUAGUAGCAUCCUGUGUUUAUGAGAACAUCUUUAAAAAUCAUUGGAAUUUACAGGGAUCUAGCCAGACAAACGUUACUAUGUAUCUAGUAAAAACAUAUAAAUUAACUUCAUGAAAAUGAUGCAUUCAGUUUUAAAAUAUGUCUCGGAAGUCUCUGCUCACAUACGCUACUUUCAAAACUUCCUGGCUGUUCUUUAGUUUUAACAAUACCUUUUUAGUGGGAAUGAUUUGUCUUUUCUGAAUACAGAGCUCCCUUUUAGUGGCAAUAAUACUGAUUAUUUCUAAUGACUGAUAUAUUAAAAUGAUGUAAUUUUUUCCAGCAAAGGUCCUUAAAAGUGCUUGUGGAUUUGUUUCUGCAAGUAAUGAUUUCUCUAAGGGCAUUGCUUUCUCUUGAUGAAUCUGUUUUAAGUGCGCAUUAGAACAAUCUUUUUCUCCCAUGUUGUCACCAAAGGCUUAAACUUAUAUUGCCAGAGGAAAAAAAAAAAACAAACAGGAAAUUCUAGAGAUGUCCAUUAUUUUUAAGUCUCAUCAGGAAGGAUAAAAAGUGAGACUUAUAAACAAAAAGGGGACAAAUAAGUUUCCAAAAACCCCCAGUCAUUACUUUUAACUUUCCUACCUCUUAUCAGUAACAGUUGGUAAAUACUGUUGAAAGAACUUGGUCAUGUUCUUGACCAAAGGUCUUGAUAUUGGGCUUUUAGAAGGAGAAACAUAGGUGAGUGAUAGAAUGAAAACAGAUUACAUUUUUAUAUAUAUAUAUAUAUAUUUUUUUUUUUUUUAAAUUUUAUUUUUCAACACUUGCAUGUGUGUCUUAGCCUUUGGGGGGAGAAAUAAAGCCGGUGAUGGAUUUGGUUAAGUGCAAGAGGGAAGUUUAGAAAAAUAGUCUUCAUUGUCUGUGAUCAAACUGUUAUAAAUCUAUGGUUGUCUCAACUCCCUACAUUGAAGAAGGUUUCUACUUAACUCAGAAUAUACAGAAAACUCAGAGGGAUAAGACAUAGGUGAAUGUUAUUGCUUACUAAUAAUUGAAGAUUGUGGAAAAUACUCAUUUUAUGAAUGAUUGCUGAUGGCAGGAAAAAAAAGUUAAAUGAAUACAGAAGAAAUUCCAGUUUUCAAGAUCAUGCCUGGAAAGUUACUGUGUUUGUUUGUUUGUUUGCUAUUUGUAGCAGAUAUUUGAGCUUUGUUUCUGCUUUUGUAUUUUUAAAAUCAUCCUUUCUAUCACUAUGAAGUCCUUCAACCCUUUUGGGAUUCCACACAAAAGGCAGAAGUUCUGCCAAUGGAAAUAUGGUAGCAAGGCAAGUGUAUGCUUCAUGACUGCAUGUGAAAAUACAGGUUUUGUUCUUCGGUAAUAUCUUCAAGAGGAAUAGCAUUAUUUCCAUCCGUCUUGGAGAGAAUGUAAGGUUCUAGAAUCACUAUGGAAGAUGAAAGUGAGAUUAUCAUGCAGGCUGGGAUUAAAAUACCCCUUCUUUUAUUUUACUAUUUCUUAGACUUCAUUCAAGAGAGAAUGGCAGUGAAGGAACAUCAAGACAAAGAUAAGAAUAUAAUUGAACAACUGAGUAAUUGAGCUUACUUGAACUUGGAGGACCUGUACAGAGAAAUUUAUUGCAAUACAACAUAUAAUUGUCAGAUUUUUUAUCUUCAGUCUACUGAAUCCUUUGUGUACGAAAAGAUUACUCUAGGGUGUAUUAGAAAAACAAAUGCAGCAAACAAAAGGGGGUGGGGGUAUGGGAAAGGCAAAGAAAAUACAAGGUCGUGGAAGGUUUACCUGCUAGUAAGAGAUCAAUAUCAUUUUUGUAACUCAUUAUCCUGAACCCAAAAAAUGGUAGAAAAAUCAACAAUGUAUUGAAGUAACAACAUCUUCCUCAGCAAGAUUUAUGAGACAAAUGAGAAAGAAAAAAAAAAACUAGCUUUCAUAUUGCCAAAGAUAUCAAAUCUUCAUUAGUGUUGUGAAAACAUCAUUUAUAUUUAUUUUCAGUGAGUUAGAAAAUUCCAAUAGAUGCAUACAAAAACCAAUACAGUAUGUUUUGUUGUGACAUCAUGUAAAGCAUGUAAUUUUAAAAUUAUGUUUCCCCACACUGGAUAUAAUUAAUGCAGCCUGGUUUAGAUACUGUGGCAGGACAGCAUUUUAAAUUUCCUUUUAUAUUUGUAGCUAAAUUUUUUCUCUUCAGUUUCAAAACUAGUUGCAUUCACAAGGCCUGCUCAUGCCAUGUCUGUGAAGACUGAACCACAACUCCAGAAAAUAGUGAUAGAGUGACAAGAGACAGAAAAGAAGCCAGAGCCUGGAGGUUAAAGGCCACAUGCAAUAUGGGUGUAUUUUUAUAUAUGGUAAGACUGUCAAAAAGUGGACUUAUGUUUAUUAAGAUAAAAUUAUUAGAAAUGUCACAAGAAAGUAAUUUUGGAGAAUUUUUACUUGAUGUACUUUGCAGAAGUGUUAUCACCAUCUCUAGGAAAAUCUGUGCAUUUGAAGAUCCAUGCUGUACAAAUUUAAUUAUCUUGAUUGUCCCUAUCUAGAUUCCUUCAGAAUUUAUAUAAAAAUUGAUUUCUAUAUGAAAUGUUAUUCUUGUGUCACUCCUGAAGAAGUCACUCCAGAAUAAGACCAGGAUACGAGCCAAGCACUUUCUGUACUUCCCUCAAUCAUACAAAAAUUGUCUCCAUUCAUCUCACCAUUCAGUCACAUUGCAAAUAGAAAGAAGAACAGAGCAAAAAGGUGAUACAGAACAGCCCAUGAAUUACCAGACCUACAUUUUAGGAGACCAAGAAAUGAAGUAAUUUUCAAGAUCAAGAAGAUCUCAGCUGUCACCUAUACAUCUCAUUUUUACCAAGAGGGAACUACGUGCUCAAGAAGCUCAGUUUUUUCUCAGUUACUAUAAUACACUAUCUUCAACGUCUAAAAUACUGAGAUCUGCAAUAAUCCUCUAUAAACUGACUCCUGAAGUGAUUUUCUGUUUUUCUGUAAGUGAUAGCUAUAUGUGUGACAUAGAAAAAGUGCAAAAGUAUUAUUUUAGCCUCGUCACAAAUAGAAAUAUCUGCAUA